GGAACCAGCAGGUGCUCAGCGCGGCUAACACACACACUCAUUUCAUCACCUGACACCGUUCCUUUUUCCCCAUUACACCUACACCUCGACUGCCUCCAAGGUGACUACGCUGCAGUUACAGGAAAAUGGGAAAUAGCUUAUUCUUCCCGGUUAUCAAAAACCGCUCCAAAAUAAGCAGAUCUCCUGCAAAUCCCUGUAGCUGAUGUGCACUAGCGCUGCAUUAGUACUGAUACACCUACGGCUGCCUGAAUCUCCCUCAAGGUGUGCGGAUCUGAGGAUAAAGCGGAGCUGGGUCAGAGUGGAAAUCCUUCACUUACAUGCAAACCCGUAGUGGGUGAGCUUUCUGUGGUUUUCUCCAUGAACCAGACCUCCCUCUUAUGCAGCCUACUGGGCAAAACGAAGGGUCUCAUCUCCUAUCUAUCAACCUUGGAUGAAAUUAUCUUGCUGAUGGAAUAUAAAGCACACAAACUAGAAGACGCACUGUCUUCCCACCUACCUACUAAGAAGAAGUAAAGCACUUCUCAGUGUUUCUUUCCAACACUCAUCCAGAAGCGACUCCUUCAGCCUAUACACCAUUGUUCUUUCCUUACCCAUACGCCUAAUUAGAUGCUUUUGAUACAGUAUGAACAGAGAGUGGGGACCCAGUUGGUGUGGCUCCUCUAAUGCACCCUCCAGUGGCUCUCACAUUGAUCCCUUUUUCUCUGAAGAUGCCACAAAGACUGCACAUUGGCUCAGCGUGGGCUAUCAUGAAAGACAACGGAGCACAAGUGGAAAACAAACUCAAAAAGAAAUGGGUUGCUUUAUUUUAUUACAGGUCGCCAAGGCUGCCCGACACCUGACGGCUAUGAGGCUGGCAUGCUAAUGUAAUGCUAAUUGUAACCCAAACAGAUCAGUGACAUUUGUUGAGCAGUUAAACAGGAGCCCUCCUGGGGGGGUGUUUAUAUUCUACACGAGAUUUAUAUGCUUACAAUAUAUUUAACCGGCUACAGUGACAUCUACAAUUGUCCAAGAUGGGUCGUUGGUGGUACAUGAAUUACAAGUUUGAAUUCCCGGAGUCAUUUUCUGCCUGUGAGGUAGUGAGGCUGACGGCGUAGUAUUUGUUUUUCAUCAGCGAGUGUUUGGCUUGGCAGCAGGUUUCUAUGGGCAGACCGGGGUGGGAGAGGCAGGCAGGCAGGCAGGGGGGAGAUUGUGGAUUUCGUUGUAUGAGCCAACAGGCUCCAGUGCCUCAGCAGACAGUGAUUGGGCCAUGGCCAUUGUAGCCUCUCAGGGGGAAAAGGUGCCAAGUGCUUGUCCAUUAUAACAGGUUCUGUACUCUCUCAAGACCCCCUCCCCAAGCCAUCCCUCACACACUACUCCUGCUUGAGUGCAGUGAGGAUACAGCACGGGCGGAGAGUGUUGUUGACAUUUUCUGAAAUUGCCUGAAAGCAUUUUUGGUCAGCAGGAGCUGGCAGAGGAAGACUUCAAGUCUUGCAUAGCAUGAAAUAAGCCCAAGACAUAUAGAGAAAACACUGUAUUCAUUUUUUUUUUCUUUCUGAGAAAGAGAUGAGAUGGUUGACAACAAGCUCUUGCCUGUGCAUGAAGCAGGGAGCUGGAGCCAGGAAGUGGUUAGCUUAGCAUAGCAUAAAGACUGGAUGCAGAAGCAAACAGCUAUCCUGGUUCUGUAAAAAUAUUCUGAAGAAUAUACCCAACAAUAACUUAAAGUUCACUAAUUGCAUCCUGUUCAUUCAAAUGUGUACACAAACAGAAAUGUGAAAAUAACUAUUACUGAGGGAAGGCAAUUAGGGGGAAAAGUAUAUUUUCCAAACUGUUGAACAGUUAUUUGCAACAGUCAUCCCUUUUGUAGUUUUUGCACAUUUUUUUAUUAUUUAAAUAAAGGAAAAAAGGUCUUUGGACAUACAUCAGAAAUGCUCCCAGCCUUCAACCCACUGUGUGGGCGGUCUGUGUAUAUGCUGAGCCGGCACAGAGAAACAUUGUAAACUUGGACUCAUAACUGUAGCUCAUAACCCAAGGACAGGGAACAUUUUGUUAGCAGUGGAACUGAAAAAUAAGGACCACAACAUUUAGCAUUCAAACUGACCAAUGUGGACAUUUACAGGUAGGUUUUAAAUAUUUCUUCUGCUAAAGAUGGGUUGCUAAUUAGCUAUCCAGCUUGUAAACUGACACAAGCAGUCAUUUACAGAGGAGAUCUGGAUGCAAUUUGAUGUUUGAGCUUCACUGUGCAGAAUGAUGUAUAUGAUGUAUUUUUGACACUAGAAAGCUGUUUUCACAUUCAUCUGCCAAAGGGGGGAAAGUGUUUCUGUUCUCACCUUAAAUCUGAGUUUAAUUCAAUUCAUAUUCAGGUCAUAAAGCUCAUAUUAAAAAGUUCAUUCAUGCCUGCCAUUUAUAGUGUUAUGGUAUGAGACAAUCCAGUCACCCAGCUAGACCCAGUUAAAGAGUUGAAAGGGCGGAUGGAGGCUUAUGUUUAAGGCGUGUACCUACAAGCAUGAUUCAUGACAUCAUGAGCUCAUCUUGGUCCAAUAUUCAACUUACAGUAGUAUGAUGAAGAAAUUUGAAACCUUCAGUGCACAAACACUGAGAACUGACUUUUCAGUGAAGUUGGAGACAUCUUGCGUCUACUUGUAAAAAUGUUUGAAAUUGUACAUAUUUGAAUAUUUAUAGAUUCAGUCUUUUUUUAGUCUCUAAACAUGUUGAGAGGAUCUUUAAAUGUGUCCAUUGCAUGAUUCAAACCAACAUAUAAACCUAUAUAUAUUAAAUAUAAUGUCCUUUUUUUCAAAAAUGCAUGUAAACUAAUUUGUAAAAUGUAAAUCACGCCACUUUACUCAUCCCCACUGAGUCUUUCUGUGGACAUCAUAUAUAUAUUCUCAGGUUAUUAGAGAUCAGAUCCACACAGAUGGGUGAAUGUGAUCGUCUUCUUAAUUAGUACCAACAAAUCAUCAGCAGAAGCACUAAUGGGAACUCGUUCCACAUGAAAGAGCUGUGAUUACACUCAUGCAUAUGCCCCCCCAACACACACACACACACACACCACUCCUCCUUCCCCCUUGUUGUAUUUCAGAACCAGUGUUUCCAUCUCUGGUGUAUAUAAUAGAAUCAGUUUUAUUACCUGGGUCAAGCAAUGGGGUGCAGAUUUAGCGAUAAGUAUGCAAAUGAAUUGAUGUUUAUUCUGUUUUGUAAGAC